GUAAGGAAUAUUGGUCAAUGGGCGGAAGCCUGAACCAGCCAUGCCGCGUGCAGGAAGACGGCCCUACGGGUUGUAAACUGCUUUUGCAGGGGAAUAAACCUUCGUAUGUAUACGAAGCUGAAUGUACUCUGAGAAUAAGGAUCGGCUAACUCCGUGCCAGCAGCCGCGGUAAUACGGAGGAUCCAAGCGUUAUCCGGAUUUAUUGGGUUUAAAGGGUGCGUAGGCGGCCUAUUAAGUCAGGGGUGAAAGACGGUAGCUUAACUAUCGCAGUGCCUUUGAUACUGAUGGGCUUGAAUGAACUAGAGGUAGGCGGAAUGUGACAAGUAGCGGUGAAAUGCAUAGAUAUGUCACAGAACACCAAUUGCGAAGGCAGCUUACUAUGGUUUAAUUGACGCUGAGGCACGAAAGCGUGGGGAUCAAACAGGAUUAGAUACCCUUGUAGUCC
rnacentral:rRNA from 1 species